rnacentral:rRNA from 1 species
GGAUAACCUUGCGAAAGUAAGACUAAUACCCAAUGACGUCUCUAGAAGACAUCUGAAAGAGAUUAAAGAUUUAUCGGUGAUGGAUGGGGAUGCGUCUGAUUAGCUUGUUGGCGGGGUAACGGCCCACCAAGGCGACGAUCAGUAGGGGUUCUGAGAGGAAGUUCCCCCACAUUGGAACUGAGACACGGUCCAAACUCCUACGGGAGGCAGCAGUGAGGAAUAUUGGUCAAUGGGCGAGAGCCUGAACCAGCCAAGUAGCGUGCAGGAUGACGGCCCUAUGGGUUGUAAACUGCUUUUAUAAGGGAAUAAAGUGGGUCACGUGUGACUUUUUGCAUGUACCUUAUGAAUAAGGACCGGCUAAUUCCGUGCCAGCAGCCGCGGUAAUACGGAAGGUCCGGGCGUUAUCCGGAUUUAUUGGGUUUAAAGGGAGCGUAGGCCGGAGAUUAAGCGUGUUGUGAAAUGUAGACGCUCAACGUCUGCACUGCAGCGCGAACUGGUUUCCUUGAGUACGCACAAAGUGGGCGGAAUUCGUGGUGUAGCGGUGAAAUGCUUAGAUAUCACGAAGAACUCCGAUUGCGAAGGCAGCUCACUGGAGCGCAACUGACGCUGAAGCUCGAAAGUGCGGGUAUCGAACAGGAUUAGAUACCCUGGUAGUCCGCACGGUAAACGAUGGAUGCCCGCUGUUGGUCUGAAUAGGUCAGCGGCCAAG